AUGCUUUUCAAUGACAAUCACCUCCAGCAAAACUAUAAAAUGAAAUUUGUUGCAUCAUCAUUAAACCGUCAGAUGUAUACGAACGGAAUCAAUCGCGUGCUUGGAGAGGAGUUUGCUAGGGUUUUGAUCCAUAAAAGCAACGCGGAGGAAAAAAGGGACACAUGUGGGAGUAAGGGUUUCUUCUAUACUGCAACCAUGUCGGGCUACGGAGAUGAGCCCGGCGGCGUACUCAGGAGGCCAGGAGCUCCACACCUUCCUCAAUGCCGCCGCUGUCAUAGGUUUGAGUCUGUGGUGUCAAAUCGCUAG
rnacentral:rRNA from 1 species